rnacentral:rRNA from 1 species
GAUGAACGCUGGCGGCGUGCCUAAUACAUGCAAGUCGAGCGAACAGACGAGGAUCUUGCUCCUCUGACGUUAGCGGCGGACGGGUGAGUAACACGUGGAUACCCUACCUAUAAGACUGGGAUAACUUCGGGAAACCGGAGCUAAUACAGGAUAAUAUGUUGAACCGCAUGGUUCAAUAGAGAAAGACGGUUUUGCUGUCACUUAUACAUGGUUCCGGGCCGCAUUAGCUAGUUGGUAAGGUAACGGCUUACCAAGGCAACGAUGCGUAGCCGACCUGAGAGGGUGAUCGGCCACACUGGAACUGAGACACGGUCCAGACUCCUACGGGAGGCAGCAGUAGGGAAUCUUCCGCAAUGGGCGAAAGCCUGACGGAGCAACGCCGCGUGAGUGAUGAAGGUCUUCGGAUCGUAAAACUCUGUUAUUAGGGAAGAACAAAUGUGUAAGUAACUAUUCACGUCUUGACGUUACCUAAUCAGAAAGCCACGGCUAACUACGUG